CCCUUCUCUCUCUGCAACUGCUAACUUGGUUAACAUCGGGCCUUAACAUUUAGCAAGAACAAGGUUCAAGAAACAUGCCUCCUCAAUCAUCAGGUCUCUUUUCUGAAAGAAGAGAGUUGAUGGGAAUGGGUGGUGUUGGGAAAAAGAAGGUAUGUUUUUUUUUUGCCUAGCUAAUUGAAUUAUAUAAAUUCCCUUACCGUUGUAGCAGUGAUGUUGGUUUAAUGACCAAUUAUGAUAGGAAGUCUCUUUUCAGUUUAUCUUAAUCAAAUGUAUAUCUAUGCAAGAGGAUUACGUGAUUCUAGAUGAUGAUUCUAGAUAAGGAUG